GACGAACGCUGGCGGCGUGCUUAACACAUGCAAGUCGAACGGAAAGGCCCUGCUUUUGUGGGGUGCUCGAGUGGCGAACGGGUGAGUAACACGUGAGUAACCUGCCCUUGACUUUGGGAUAACUUCAGGAAACUGGGGCCAAUACCGGAUAGGAGCUCCUGCUGCAUGGUGGGGGUUGGAAAGUUUCGGCGGUUGGGGAUGGACUCGCGGCUUAUCAGCUUGUUGGUGGGGUAGUGGCUUACCAAGGCUUUGACGGGUAGCCGGCCUGAGAGGGUGACCGGCCACAUUGGGACUGAGAUACGGCCCAGACUCCUACGGGAGGCAGCAGUGGGGAAUAUUGCACAAUGGGCGGAAGCCUGAUGCAGCAGCGCCGCGUGCGGGAUGACGGCCUUCGGGUUGUAAACCGCUUUCGCCUGUGACGAAGCGUGAGUGACGGUAAUGGGUAAAGAAGCACCGGCUAACUACGUG
rnacentral:rRNA from 1 species